rnacentral:rRNA from 1 species
UACGUAGGGCGCGAGCGUUGUCCGGAAUCAUUGGGCGUAAAGAGCUCGUAGGCGGCCGGUUGCGUCUGCUGUGAAAUCCCGGGGCUUAACCCUGGGCGUGCAGUGGAUACGGGCUGGCUGGAGGCAGGCAGGGGAGAAUGGAAUUCCCGGUGUAGCGGUGAAAUGCGCAGAUAUCGGGAGGAACACCGGUGGCGAAGGCGGUUCUCUGGGCCUGUGCUGACGCUGAGGAGCGAAAGCGUGGGGAGCGAACAGG